rnacentral:lncRNA from 1 species
AUUUUAUCAUUAGAAUUAUAAAUUUGUAGUUUAGAUUCAAACCUAAUUAUUUUUCUUUCUCUUUCUUUUUUUAGGCUAUCUCCUAAGGAACAUGAGCAGGCUCAACAGCUACAACACCAGACCUAUCUGUUCAGAUAAAGCUGGUCUUAGGGAGGAGCCUGGGCACCAAACCAGAAGAAUCAAUUACUUACCCAAGUCUACUCACUGUGACUAUUUAUUUAUCACAUCUGCACAUCUACCUGCUCCACCCAUGAAGCUCCUAUGGCAGGAUCUGAGCCUUAAUCAUUAAACCUCAAAUAUUAACCAGUCCACUAAGUUCACCUUUCAUCAUGGAAUCUCCAGCGAUGUAAAGCUGUCAGAAAUGUCAUAAGCACUUCUGUGUCAGGCUGCGCCACCCCCCAAAGGGGCAUGUCAAUGGUGGGCUGAGGGCAUGACCCAAGGGACAAGAGUGGGUGUGGUGGAGCCAAGCUCCACUAUUGGCUAGUCACUGUUUUUUUGAAGCUUAUCCCAGCACUAGAGGAUAUGUCUUAACUGUGUUUAGUAAAGUGUCAUGUAUAAAUAUGGUGCUGAAUAAAUGUUUUAAGAUGAUCCUAUAGCUCA